UUUAAGUACGGAUAUAGAUUUCGGUGUCCAAUGUUUGAUCGUCUAUAUUAUUUAAAUUUUUUUUAUUAGUAUUUUUGUUGUUAUUAGAUGAUAAACAUGAAAAAAACUUUAUGUGUGACUUAUUUUUUUAAAUACAACAGACGGUCAAAAUGUAAACCCACAUCUACACUUCUA
rnacentral:pre_miRNA from 1 species